rnacentral:rRNA from 1 species
GACGGGGGGGCAAGUGUUCUUCGGAAUGACUGGGCGUAAAGGGCGCGUAGGCGGCGUGACAAGUCACUUGUGAAAUCUCCGGGCUUAACUCGGAACGGCCAAGUGAAACUGUCAUGCUAGAGUGCAGAAGGGGCAAUCGGAAUUCUUGGUGUAGCGGUGAAAUGCGUAGAUAUCAAGAGGAACACCUGAGGUGAAGACGGGUUGCUGGGCUGACACUGACGCUGAGGCGCGAAAGCCAGGGGAGCAAACGGG